rnacentral:rRNA from 2 species
GAUGAACGCUGGCGGCGCAUUUAAGACAUGCAAGUCGAACGGAAAUAAGUUUGGUGUUUACAUUGAACUUAUUUUAGUGGCGGACGGGUGAGUAACACGUAGGUAACCUACCUUAGAGUAUGCAAUAACUAGAAGAAAUUUUAGAUAAUAGCAUAUAAGACCACAUCAUCACAUGAUGAAGCGGUAAAAGGAGUAAUUCGCUUUAAGAUGGACCUGCGGCUGAUUAGUUAGUUGGCGUGAUAACAGCACACCAAGACGAUGAUCAGUAGCCGAGCUGAGAGGCUGAUCGGCCACAUUGGGACUGAGACACGGCCCAGACUCCUACGGGAGGCAGCAGUUGGGAAUAUUGGACAAUGGAGGAAACUCUGAUCCAGUGACGUCGCGUGAAGGAAGAAGGUCUUCGGAUUGUAAACUUAUUUUAUCAGGGAAAAAACAAAUGAUGGUACCUGAAGAAAAAGCACCGGCAAACUACGUGCCAGCAGCCGCGGUAAUACGUAGGGUGCAAGCGUUAUCCGGAUUUACUGGGUAUAAAGGGUGAGUAGACGGCAAUGCAAGUCAGCUGUGAAACCUUGGAGCUCAACUCCAAGCCUGCAGCUGAAACUGUAUAGCUAGAGUACAGGAGAGGAAAGCGGAAUUCCUAGUGUAGCGGUG